ACAGAUGGGAGCUUGCUCCCUGAUGUUAGCGGCGGACGGGUGAGUAACACGUGGGUAACCUGCCUGUAAGACUGGGAUAACUCCGGGAAACCGGGGCUAAUACCGGAUGCUUGUUUGAACCGCAUGGUUCAGACAUAAAAGGUGGCUUCGGCUACCACUUACAGAUGGACCCGCGGCGCAUUAGCUAGUUGGUGAGGUAACGGCUCACCAAGGCGACGAUGCGUAGCCGACCUGAGAGGGUGAUCGGCCACACUGGGACUGAGACACGGCCCAGACUCCUACGGGAGGCAGCAGUAGGGAAUCUUCCGCAAUGGACGAAAGUCUGACGGAGCAACGCCGCGUGAGUGAUGAAGGUUUUCGGAUCGUAAAGCUCUGUUGUUAGGGAAGAACAAGUGCCGUUCAAAUAGGGCGGCACCUUGACGGUACCUAACCAGAAAGCCACGGCUAACUACGUGCCAGCAGCCGCGGUAAUACGUAGGUGGCAAGCGUUGUCCGGAAUUAUUGGGCGUAAAGGGCUCGCAGGCGGUUUCUUAAGUCUGAUGUGAAAGCCCCCGGCUCAACCGGGGAGGGUCAUUGGAAACUGGGGAACUUGAGUGCAGAAGAGGAGAGUGGAAUUCCACGUGUAGCGGUGAAAUGCGUAGAGAUGUGGAGGAACACCAGUGGCGAAGGCGACUCUCUGGUCUGUAACUGACGCUGAGGAGCGAAAGCGUGGGGAGCGAACAGGAUUAGAUACCCUGGUAGUCCACGCCGUAAACGAUGAGUGCUAAGUGUUAGGGGGGUUUCCGCCCCUUAGUGCUGCAGCUAACGCAUUAAGCACUCCGCC
rnacentral:rRNA from 1 species